CCCUAGUCCUGGCCACCCCGUUCUCCCAUUGCGCCGCCGCCCCUACCUCUCUUCCUUCGCUGACCUCCCAUUCGGUGGUAGCAGCCUAGCCUAAUCAUGGCCGGAUCUAGCUGCACUGGUCAUCGGUGCUACCGGAUCUGGCCGCCUCCAGGCCUCAUCAACGCCGCCCCGAUUGUUCACCUCUCCACCGCCACUUCCCCCAUCGCAUCUCAUCCACCUCGCCCAGAUCCAUGAGAGGGUAAGACCUGCAGAGUAGCCGCCUGUCUCCCGAGGAGCUCGUCCCGGCCCCUCCAUGGACUUCAUCCACCGUGGUAGAUCGACCACAAGCUGCAUCGACAUUGAGCGACAUCGAGCGUUCCUCUUCUUCGUGGGGCGUGCACCUUCUGGGGGUGUAGGCGUGCAGCACCUACUGCUAUGGAGGGCGGAUGGCGGGGUGCUUCUAUCAUCAUCAUCGAGCUCAGAUUCCUGCAUAAGCUGGCAUGUUCAUUUCAAAAACAGAUAAAAGAGGAAAAGGUGAUACCAGAAGAUACAAGCAUCUGGAAGUGGGUUCUAAGUGUAUGGCAGAAGCAGCAAUGCAACCAGAAGCAAGGUUUGACAAUGACCUCAAGAUCAGCAAUAUGCUCCUGAACUGAUACCUUAUGCAUGAUUCAUAAGUAACAUAUAUUGGUGUUAGCCAACACAGGUGGUCAAUUCUUUGCUCGAUGAACUUCUCGUGGAUACUUUGUUAUUUCUUUACAAUUUCACCCUUCUUGAUGUAAUCAGAUUGGUAUUGUAUAUGAGCCAAAGUUGAAAAUUGUUUUUAGUCAUAAAUAGAGUUGAUAUAUUUACUUUUA